rnacentral:rRNA from 1 species
GACGAACGCUGGCGGCGUGCCUAAUACAUGCAAGUCGAACGAACCGCGGCUAGGUGCUUGCACUUGGUCAAGGUGAGUGGCGAACGGGUGAGUAACACGUGGGUAACCUACCUCAUAGUGGGGGAUAACAGUCGGAAACGACUGCUAAUACCGCAUAGGACAUAGGAUCACAUGAUUCUGUGAGGAAAGGUGGCGCAAGCUAUCGCUAAGAGAUGGACCCGCGGUGCAUUAGCUAGUUGGUAGGGUAAAGGCCUACCAAGGCGAUGAUGCAUAGCCGACCUGAGAGGGUGAUCGGCCACAUUGGGACUGAGACACGGCCCAAACUCCUACGGGAGGCAGCAGUAGGGAAUCUUCCGCAAUGGACGCAAGUCUGACGGAGCAACGCCGCGUGAGUGAAGAAGGUCUUCGGAUCGUAAAGCUCUGUUGUUAGAGAAGAACAGCGCAUAGAGUAACUGUUAUGCGUGUGACGGUAUCUAACCAGAAAGCCACGGCUAACUACGUG